rnacentral:rRNA from 1 species
GACGAACGCUGGCGGCGUGCUUAACACAUGCAAGUCGAACGGAAAGGCCCUGCUUUUGUGGGGUGCUCGAGUGGCGAACGGGUGAGUAACACGUGAGUAACCUGCCCUUGACUUUGGGAUAACUUCAGGAAACUGGGGCUAAUACCGAUAGGAGCCUCUGCCGCCUGGUGGGGGUUGGAAAGUUUCGGCGGUUGGGGAUGGACUCGCGGCUUAUCAGCUUGUUGGUGGGGUAGUGGCUUACCAAGGCUUUGACGGGUAGCCGGCCUGAGAGGGUGACCGGCCACAUUGGGACUGAGAUACGGCUCAGACUCCUACGGGAGGCAGCAGUGGGGAAUAUUGCACAAUGGGCGGAAGCCUGAUGCAGCAACGCCGCGUGCGGGAUGACGGCCUUCGGGUUGUAAACCGCUUUCGCCUGUGACGAAGCGUGAGUGACGGUAAUGGGUAAAGAAGCACCGGCUAACUACGUG